rnacentral:rRNA from 1 species
GAUGAACGCUGGCGGCGUGCUUAACACAUGCAAGUCGAACGGACAGACCCGGCGUUUGUUUGUUUCUCGUUUGCCGAAGGGGUGAGUAUCACGUGUGGAACCUCCCCCUAUCUUUGUGAUAUCUUCUCGAAACUCCGGCGCUUACCGGAUAUGAUCUCUUGCUCCGUGUUGUUGGAUGGAAAGUUUCGGCGGUUGUGGAUGGACUCGCUGCUUAUCCGCUUCUUGGUGUGGUAGUGAAUUACCAAGCCUUCGACGGGUAGCCGGCCUGAGAGGGUGACCGGCCACCUUGGGACUGAGAGACGGCCCAGAAGCCUACGGGAGGCAGCAGUGGGGAAUAUUGCACAAUGGGCGGAAGCCUGAUGCAGAAACGCCGCGUGCGGGAUGACGGCCUUCGGGUUGUAAACAGCUUUCGACUGUGACGAAGCGUGAGUGACGGUAAUGGGUAAAGAAGCACCGGCUAACUACGUG